CCUGCCCCUAGAAGGGUUGCAGGUGUGGCUGCUAUGUCACACGUGUGUCGGUAGGUGGCAGAGAGGCUAUGUCACCACUCAGCAUUCUGACCUGUGAACAUCUGAAUCAUUAAUAUCUCCACACU
ensembl:snoRNA Gm23745 predicted gene, 23745